rnacentral:rRNA from 1 species
UACGGAGGGUGCAAGCGUUAAUCGGAAUUACUGGGCGUAAAGCGCACGCAGGUGGCUGAGUCAGUCGAUUGUGAAAGCCCUGGGCUUAACCUGGGAAUUGCAGUCGAUACUACUCAGCUAGAGUAUGGGAGAGGAGAGUGGAAUUCCCGGUGUAGUGGUGGAAUGCGUAGAGAUCGGGAGGAAUACCAGAGGCGAAAGCGGCGGCCUGGACAGUUACUGACACUCAACUGCGAAAGCGUGGGGAUCAAACAGGGAUUAAGAAACCC